rnacentral:rRNA from 1 species
UAAUACGGAGGGUGCAAGCGUUAAUCGGAAUUACUGGGCGUAAAGGGUGCGUAGGUGGUGAAGUAAGUUAUCUGUGAAAUCCCCGGGCUCAACCUGGGCAGGUCAGAUAAGACUGCUUUACUCGAGUAUGGGAGAGGGUAGUGGAAUUUCCGGUGUAGCGGUGAAAUGCGUAGAGAUCGGAAGGAACACCAGUGGCGAAGGCGGCUACCUGGCCUAAUACUGACACUGAGGCACGAAAGCGUGGGGAGCAAACAGGAUUAGAUACCCUGGUAGUCCACGCUGUAAACGAUGUCAACUAGCUGUUGGCCUUAUGAAUGAGGUUAGUGGCGCAGCAAACGCGAUAAGUUGACCGCCUGGGGAGUACGGUCGCAAGAUUA